rnacentral:misc_RNA from 1 species
CUAAAACACAAAAUAUACGCUAAAACUCAAUUAUUAAAUAAAUACAUUUGUAUCUUCAGUCCAUGCUUCACCUAUUCAUCGUAUACGAGCCAUCAAAAGACAUUCCUUCUCAAAGUUUAAGAAGCUAAUAAAGUUAUUUAACCUUCAAAUUGAAGAACUAUGAAUCUGCCUUGAUGAAUAUAACAUGCGUUGAAACAAAUGCAUGUUGCUAAAACUUCAAAUAUGUAGUUACAAUAGGAUUCUUGAUAAACCAACCAAUGAUGACAUUAGGUUAAGGUGUAGCAGAGAUGAGUGGGGAACAACCUGGAAAAGAAAAGAAAUUACCAGGACUGCAGAAAUUUGACUUUGGCCAGAAUCUACCAUCUGAGCUUUUAACCAUUGUGACUUUUGAUGGUGCUGAAAGAUUGUAAAAUGUGGGCUUUCAUUCACAAUGGAAUCCACCAUCAAAUGCCAGUACUGAUGAUUUUGCCUCUAAAGGUAUCAUUUCCCAUCAUUUAAUUAUAGAUUUACAGAAGAAUGUUACACCAAUCCCUUUCUCUUAAAGGCACUAUAUUAAGAGAUCAUGCACUCUUCAAUUCAAUGAACAUACCUUGUUACACCAUGAGGAUAAGCAUUUGACCAUUUUGUAUGAGCUUGGGCUCUGAUAGUUGAUAAAAGCACAUCCAGAAGAAAACUGUUAGCAUGAAUAUUGAUGCUCAAGCAGCUCCUCACAACAAACAUCUUCAACCAACAAAAUGGCGCAAAAGUUGCCCCCCAAUUACAUCCCUUCCAAAGUGCCGAUUUUGUGCUUCAAAACUUCCCAUGACAAAUCCCUCGCUGCUUUUCUCAAGACCAAGGCCAAAACGUUGCGCUGCAUUCAUAGAAAAGGGUUCUGACAAACCUAUCCCAUUAUUCUGAUGCAGACCUAGUGUUAAGGAAACACUACUGCUUUCACCUGCUCCACUUAUACCAACUCCUACAGACGGAUGACUCAGCAUACUGUUGUAAGACAAAUUCAAUGGUUCCUCAUUCCCCAGAGGUAAAUCAGGAAGAUCAUUUCUAGUUCGCUUUGAGGGUAUGUCUUCAACCCUUUGGAUAGAGGUUGAUGAGUUGUCUGAAGUUAUAGAGUUUGAAAGAGGUAUCUGAUCACUUGAUUUGUUAGCAUCUUGUUCCUCCCUUUGUGAAGAUUUUUGUGCUUGCCGUGUUUCCAGCAUGUGUAUUUCCUCCACCAUUGGUUUCCAGAGCCUUACUCUUGCAUUGAUGAACCAAUUAGAGACCUGGCUCCGUGAUAGUCCAGUGUGUUUGGCCAACAUUAGCUUGUCUGUAUCUGUAGGAUAAGGAUGCAGGAAGUGUUCAAACAACCAUGCCCUAAGGACAGUUACAGCACGUUCAGGAAGCCCCCUCUGAGGUCGCCAAACAAGCUGGUGCUCCAUGAAUCCAGAGUUCUUAUCCAGCCUCUGCGCAUAAAGGCCUCUAUCAGUGUUACCAAACCUUGUAGCCUCUUCUUUUCCAUGGCUCAGUUGACCCUUAUUAUUGAACUGAAGCUGGUGAGUUAUUGCAUUCUUCAAGGACCUAAAAUGUCUAAACAUGGUUUUCAAGGCCAAGUUUGUGUAUGGAGCAGCAUUGCCAAGCCCAGCAACAUACUCAAAGGAUGCCACCACUGCUUGCAUCUGCUGAUAAAAAUGCUUGUACCUUCUGUAAACCUCAUCUAGCAUUGAAAUUAGCCUUGACUUCUUUCUCCGAUUUUCACCUCCAUCCCCAUAAUUAAGCGGAUCAUCCAGAAUUCCACAUGCGUUCACACACUCCACAGGAGGAUCCAUCAAAGAGGCAUCCAUCGUGAUCUUCUCGCUGUAAAUUCCCCCACCCCCAUCACAAAAAUCUUCAAGUAGCUGUUGUGCAGGCUUCAAAAAUCUCGAUUCCUUUAAAAUCGAAGAAUAUCCCGUGAAAGGCCCGAGAGGGACCGAACUUCUAGACAACUCAGUCGAGGUCGAGCCACUGCCUCCAACAAUGCCAGGAACUAUAUAUCCAUCACCACCGCCAGCAGUAACCUUAUCACCGUAAACUGCAGAUCCGUAUCUUUGCAAAUUAAGCUCUAAAGGGAUAUUACUUUGGUGGGUGUUGUGAGAAGACAAAGAUAAAGACAAGCCUUGGCCAGUGGCAUUAGACUCAUGAGCCAAAGACAAGGGUUCUGGUUUAAACGCUGCAGCUUCACUACCACCAUUAUAUGGCUGAUCAAAGUCUCUCAUGUUUUGAAGGUUAUGAGAAGCGUAAAGAAAAGGGUUAGCAUGAAUAUCUUGAAUUGAGCUAGGAUUUAUAGGCAAAGAAGAUUGCGGAUCCAAAUAAGGAUGAUGCGUAGUGGAAGAAGGAGAAGAAGCAGCAUUUACGAUCCCAGCAACAAACCCCAUUAAAUUAACACCUUCCUCUUUAACCACAGAAACCCCGUUUGCUUUACAGGCCUCACUAACACCCGAGAGAGAGUUGUUAGCACAAGCUAGCAAAUCUGAAGAGAGAAGUGAGGGAUCGUACAGAGGGAGUAACCCAGUACAACCCUGAAGGUCAGGAUGGUUUUGAGCCACAACUCUUAGCUUAUCUCUUCUACUUUGCUGUGGGACAUGGUAGGGCUCAAAACCCUCCGCCAUAGCUACACAGAGCCAAAAAAAAAAAAAGGUCUGUAUUCGUACCCUUUGAGAGUAGCAAAAUAUUAAAAAAGUAAAAAUUAAAGACAAAACAAGAGAACAGAAGAGUUAGGAGGGAAGAUUGAAGACGAAGAAAAGGAAAAAAAGAGAGAGAAGAGUGAAAGAGAAGUGGUAGUGGUGACGAAAUGAAAGGUUAUGAGGAUCAUCUACUGCUGCAAAAAUGGCAGGUUAGCAGAGAUACGUGAAGGGAUAGAUGGAAAGACGGAAAAAAAGAAAAAAAAAAAGAAAUUGAGGUUAUGCUAUGGAGGUUGUGUUGCUCACUUCACGCAUACAGAGACGCUCGCUCGCGCUCACUCACUUACGCGCACAAAUUAACAUCUAACACACACGACAACAAAUCUAUGUUACAGUCAUCUUUCUCUCCAUUGGGAGCUCUCUGGAGAGCAUAGGGUUUCGAGAAACCGGACGACGACCGUCUAUUUCCGGUAAUAAUUGAAGGAACUACUGUGUUGCAGAUAUUUCUGACAGGGAUUUGUCGUUUUAUUCAAUUU